UUCAUUAAACCAGUUUUCUGAAACAGAGCCCCCAGAUAGCAACUGACUCUGGACCGGAUCCGCCUCAAAACCGGCAGAUCCGUGUUACAGUCUCACCGGUUUUACGUCCCCGUGCCAGAUACGGACCGCAUACAGGCUGACGAGUGGGUGUGUCAGUUAGACUCGCAAUCAGUCAGCAGAGUCAAAGUAGUUAUGGGCCAGAACCGUGGAAAUGAGCGCGCAAUUUUUUCCCUUUUUCCUUUUCUUCAGUCGUAUAAGACCGGACCAAGGAGAAGCAGGAGACCGUUGGCGGCUUUUCUUCCAGCCCUGGAAAAUUAUUUAUAACGGUUCAGGUUCCCCCAGAGUGCCGCGGAUCAGUAGGGGGCUGUAAGGAAGAACCAAGCUGCUAGCAGUGGUCCGGACAGUGAGAUCGACUCAUACGAUAUCAGAUGGUUUAACUUGGCAUCUGACCGGGGAGGUGGCCGCAAAUACCGUGCCAAGGCUAAAGAGGCAUUAACCACGGCAUCACAACAUUCCACCGAGCAGCAGUGGCUGACUUCAUAAAAGCAAAAGAAGUGGCAUGAGGAAGUGGAAGUGACAGCAGGCAGUGGGAGAGGUCAUAUGGGUGGGGAUAUGUUUGGGAUUCAGUUAAAUUUUAAGUUUUGUUGGGUUUUUUUGUUUGUUUUUUGGGGGGGUAGGGGUCACAGUUAGUUUGGUUGUGAAUAAUGUUGGUAUUGUUGUUGCUAUUAAGGUUGUUAGUUAAUUGUUAUUCCUGCCAACCCGG